rnacentral:rRNA from 1 species
GAGUUUUGAUCAUGGCUCAGGAUGAACGCUAGCGACAGGCUUAACACAUGCAAGUCGGAGGGGCAGCAUGAUUUGUAGCAAUACAGAUUGAUGGCGACCGGCGCACGGGUGAGUAACGCGUAUGCAACUUACCUAUCAGAGGGGGAUAGCCCGGCGAAAAGUCGGAUUAAUACCCCAUAAAAACAGGGGUCCCGCAUGGGAAUAUUUGUUAAAAGAUUCAUCGCUGAUAGAUAGGCAUGCGUUCCAUUAGGCAGUUGGC